AAUGCUAGGCACACAACGUACGGACGCACAAUCUCUCACACAACCGCUGACGUCAUUCUCAAAACGACAUCGUUUUGCUUAAAAUAAAAAAAUAAAAAACAGGUCGCAAUGAACAGUCCCCCUUCUUCCCCUUCCCCAUUUCACGAUCAGAGAUUCAGAAUACAGACAAGGUGGGUGACCACCACCACCCAACCCAGCGCUCCCCCAUCGCCGGAGACCGCCAUCACCACCGGCCUCUGGGUACCCCGGCGCUCUCUCUCUCUCUCGAGACCGUUGUUACACUUUCUCCAACAAAAUCGAAUGAAACUUGAAGAGAUUUUUUAGAAGAAUCUUACCAAGAUCAAGAACAAGGAAUGCUGCGACACCACUCUGAAUGGUGCUAUGCAAGAGGGCAACGACGAAGCUAUGCAAGAGGGAGAGCUCCUUUUUGCAUCUAGAUCAUCAAAACCACUACUUCCCUGAUCAUCAAAACCACUACUUCCCUGAUCAUCAAAACUGCUACUAUCCUAGCAAGAGGGAGAGCACAAAGCAGUUCCACAGCUCCAAAAUUAAGUUCCCCUUGGUGUAUGGAGCGUCCAGCCAAGAAGAGAUGUUAGCGACACUUAGGAUUUUUCUUUUUCAUUUUGCUUGUAAUAUAGCUUAGGGUAGACGAUGAUGAUGAUGUUCGGCUCAUGCCUCUUUUGUAAAACAUUAUGUAUUCAUGUCGGCUAAAUUUAAAACUUUCGUUUCAAUUGCAAUUGAACUACUGGUUUGCUCU